rnacentral:tRNA from 1 species
GGAGAGGUCGCAUAGUGGCCUAGUGCGCUGGUUUGCUAAACCGGUAAGGGCUUUAAAACCCUUCGGGGGUUCGAAUCCCCCCCUCUCCGCCA